GCUGUGAUGGCCGAGAGGUUAAGGUGUUGGACUUGAAAUCCAAUGGCAGGUACGAACCCUGCUCACAGCG